GCGGACUAUUCGUACUAUUCAUCGACUAUUCGCGGAUUAUUCGUCGACUAUUCGCGGACUAUUCGUACUAUUCGUCGACUAUUCGCGGACUAUUCGUACUAUUCGUCGACUAUUCGCACUAUUCGCUUCACUAUUCUAGUUUUAUCAAUUGCCAAUAACCGUUUGAUGUUUCUGGAUUUGUAACUCUUUCAAUAAAACCUCGUUUUAACUGUUCGUUAAUAAGUUCACUGUAGG